rnacentral:rRNA from 1 species
GGAGGAUGCAAGCGUUAUCCGGAAUCAUGGGUUUAAAGGGUCCGUAGCGGGCAAUUAAGUCAGAGGUGAAAGUUUGCGGGCUCAACCGUAAAAUUGCCUUUGAUACUGGUUGUCUUGAAUCAUUGUGAAGUGGUUAGAAUAUGUAGUGUAGCGGUGAAAUGCAUAGAGAUUACAUAGAAUACCAAUUGCGAAGGCAGAUCACUAACAAUGUAUUGACGCUGAGGGACGAAAGCGUGGGGAGCGAACAGGAUUAGAUACCCUGGUAGUCCACGCCGUAAACGAUGGAUACUAGCUGUACGGACUUCGGUCUGUGUGGCUAAGCGAAAGUGAUAAGUAUCCCACCUGGGGAGUACGUUCGCAAGAAUG